rnacentral:rRNA from 1 species
UGGGGAAUAUUGGACAAUGGGCGAAAGCCUGAUCCAGCCAUGCCGCGUGUGUGAAGAAGGUCUUCGGAUUGUAAAGCACUUUAAGUUGGGAGGAAGGGCAGUAAGCGAAUACCUUGCUGUUUUGACGUUACCGACAGAAUAAGCACCGGCUAACUCUGUGCUAGCAGCCGCGGUAAUACAGAGGGUGCAAGCGUUAAUCGGAAUUACUGGGCGUAAAGCGCGCGUAGGUGGUUCGUUAAGUUGAAUGUGAAAGCCCCGGGCUCAACCUGGGAACUGCAUCCAAAACUGGCGAGCUAGAGUAGGGCAGAGGGUGGUGGAAUUUCCUGUGUAGCGGUGAAAUGCGUAGAUAUAGGAAGGAACACCAGUGGCGAAGGCGACCACCUGGGCUCAUACUGACACUGAGGUGCGAAAGCGUGGGGAGCAAACAGG